UGCAAAAGUGGUGCAAGGAAAGACAACCUGAACCGGCACCAGAGUCACAGGCACCCAAGGUUUAUUGAUGCAUGUGGGAAGCAAAGGCUAGCCUGUCUGGUCCGAUCACAUAGAAGAGUUACUGUAGCCCAAAUUGCUGAAAAACUAAUGCUGGUCCUGACAGAACGGUGUCAGAAUACACAGUGUAUUGCUUUUUGCUGCAUAGCCACAAAGUGGUCAGAGUGUCCAUGAUGAUCCCUGUCCACCGUCGAUAGCACCUUCAAAGGCGAUGUAAGAUGUGCUGGAACAACAAAUCCGAUCCCUGGAGACCCCACAGCUUAACUUAAAGGGACACUAUAGUCACCAGAACAAUUACAGCUUAUUGUAUUUGUUUUGGUGAGUAUAACACUUUUUUUGUUUUUAGAGAAAAGGCAGUGUGUACAUUACAGCCAUAGGAUACCUCCAGUGGCCACUCCUUAGCUUGCUACAAGCGGUGCUUUCUGGGGCAGUGCUGCACGACAUUCCACUCCACCCUCUGCAUGGAAACACUGAACUUUACUCAUAGAGAUGCACUGAUUCAAUACAAAUCUAUGAGGAGAUGCUGAUUGGCCAGGGCUGUGUUUGACUUGUGCUGGCUCCGCCCCUGAUCUGCCUCCUUGGCAAUCUCAGCCAAUCCAAUGGUAAAGCAUUGUGAUUGGCGGAGAUCACUUAUGAUGAUGUCAGCCAAGCAGGCAGAUCAAGG